rnacentral:lncRNA from 1 species
GUGAAGAUCCUUUCUUUCUUUGGUUACUUUUUCUUUAUAAGUAAUGUACUUGUACUAGUUGACUUUCAGAUGACGGAGGAUGAGAAAUGAUGUUUGUAUAACUUUUUAUUCUAUAUAUGUAUAUCGUUUGUACAGAAAUCACGUCUUCCUUUAUCAUUUUGCUUUACUUUACAUUACGUAGUAUAGUAAGCAAAUUCAUUUGGUAAGCAUCCAAGUUAUUAUAUCAUUUGGAUUCGGUAAAGGGUG